GACAGUUCAAGGAAGAAAGUGAUAAGACUCCAUGCAAGAAGCAUACAUACUGGCAAAUCACAAUUAUCCCACAUGCUGCUAAAGAAAUUAUGAAUGCACGUACACAAUACAUCACCCUCAUGGGGGAUAUUUCCAAACAGACUGAAAUUGUUAUUGGCAGAUUCCUUUACAAGAAACGUGCCAGGACAGAUAUUAAUAAUUAGUUACCAGACUCACCAUUUACCUCCUUCUUUAAGGAGAGACCUUCUUGGCAGCAGGUGUGCAGUACUGUAUAUUUAUGAAAUUCAGUUUGCAAGAUUCUAUGAUACUGAGCAAAAACAGUUUUCCAGAAGAUAUAGAGUUAUAGAUUUUACAACAGAGAAAAUUCUGAAC